rnacentral:rRNA from 1 species
CUAAUACAUGCAAGUCGAACGAACCGCGACUNAGUGCUUGCACUUGGUCAAGGUGAGUGGCGAACGGGUGAGUAACACGUGGGUAACCUACCUCAUAGUGGGGGAUAACAGUCGGAAACGACUGCUAAUACCGCAUAGGACAUAGGAUCACAUGAUCCAGUGAGGAAAGGUGGCGCAAGCUAUCGCUAAGAGAUGGACCCGCGGUGCAUUAGCUAGUUGGUAGGGUAAAGGCCUACCAAGGCGAUGAUGCAUAGCCGACCUGAGAGGGUGAUCGGCCACAUUGGGACUGAGACACGGCCCAAACUCCUACGGGAGGCAGCAGUAGGGAAUCUUCCGCAAUGGACGCAAGUCUGACGGAGCAACGCCGCGUGAGUGAAGAAGGUCUUCGGAUCGUAAAGCUCUGUUGUUAGAGAAGAACAGCGCAUAGAGUAACUGUUAUGCGUGUG